UACGGAGGGUGCAAGCGUUAUCCGGAUUUACUGGGUUUAAAGGGUGUGUAGGCGGGCUUUUAAGUCAGUGGGGAAAUCUCCGGGCUCAACCUGGAAACUGCCAUUGAUACUAUUAGUCUUGAAUUUUGUUGAGGUAGGCGGAAUAAGUCAUGUAGCGGUGAAAUGCAUAGAUAUGACUUAGAACACCAAUUGCGAAGGCAGCUUGCUAAACAAAUAUUGACGCUGAGGCACGAAAGCGUGGGGAUCAAACAGG
rnacentral:rRNA from 1 species